ACAGUAAGAGCUUGCUCUUACGGGUGGCGAGUGGCGGACGGGUGAGGAAUACAUCGGAAUCUACUUUUUCGUGGGGGAUAACGUAGGGAAACUUACGCUAAUACCGCAUACGACCUACGGGUGAAAGCAGGGGAUCUUCGGACCUUGCGCGAUUGAAUGAGCCGAUGUCGGAUUAGCUAGUUGGCGGGGUAAAGGCCCACCAAGGCGACGAUCCGUAGCUGGUCUGAGAGGAUGAUCAGCCACACUGGAACUGAGACACGGUCCAGACUCCUACGGGAGGCAGCAGUGGGGAAUAUUGGACAAUGGGCGCAAGCCUGAUCCAGCCAUACCGCGUGGGUGAAGAAGGCCUUCGGGUUGUAAAGCCCUUUUGUUGGGAAAGAAAUCCAGCUGGCUAAUACCUGGUUGGGAUGACGGUACCCAAAGAAUAAGCACCGGCUAACUUCGUGCCAGCAGCCGCGGUAAUACGAAGGGUGCAAGCGUUACUCGGAAUUACUGGGCGUAAAGCGUGCGUAGGUGGUCGUUUAAGUCUGUUGUGAAAGCCCUGGGCUCAACCUGGGAACUGCAGUGGAAACUGGACGACUAGAGUGUGGUAGAGGGUAGCGGAAUUCCUGGUGUAGCAGUGAAAUGCGUAGAGAUCAGG
rnacentral:rRNA from 1 species